GCAUCCUCAGGUUCUAAAGAUGGAUUGGGGUUGUCUGUGAAGGCUUCAAGGAGAAGAUGGGAUUUGUGAAUAGGAAGUGGAUUGGAGUUGUUAUAUGGCCUGCAUUUGGAUUUCAUCAACUCCCAAUAUGAUACAUAAGGAAACGGCAAGUAAGAUGAUGUGGAGAAAAAAAUAACUAUACUUGAUCAAACACAUAGAGAAGAAAUUUGUGCUGGAGGAUGGCAUAGAUUUUGAACCAGUCAAUGAUCAGUUUUCAAGACAAAAACAUCUCAUGAAUAGUAUUAUGACUGAAAAAAAUGAUAAAAGAAAAAAGUCUGGGAUUUUCACAGAUGAGGAAGAUAAAACCUUAAGAAAGCAUUAAACAAGCACACGAAGCUAGUAAGUGACAAGAGCCAUCUGUGUCCGGUGGAAAGAUAUCAAGAUGACUGGAGAUGGCCCUGGGUGCAGGGGGAGACUGGCCUUUUUAAGUCCAGGUCUUAAUUUGACUUAGGCAACUAUCUAUUCAGUGAUUAA